rnacentral:tRNA from 1 species
UCCCUGAUGGCUUAAGGUGGUAAAGAAUCUGCCUGCAAUACAGGAGACCCAGGUUCAAUCCCUGGGUCGGGAA